UACCAAACGAGCUUUAAGGUGAAGAUACAAACGAACAUCUUCUCCACCAGUAGCGUCGUUCAGCCAAAACCGAUGACAGCUGAAGAAACACAGAAUGAACUAGGGUGCCGACACAUGCAAACAGUAGCCAUGGUAGCCUUGAAAUGCCAGAGGUCAACAACAAACGUUACUGCAGGACUGCACCAUCGGAGCACCGAGAGCGACGACGACUUAGACCGUUUGGUUUUCCACUCACAACUUACUUUCACAGCAGCCAAUGAGCGAGAGAACAACAAAAGAUAACUCUGGGCCAACAGCUAAGUCAACAGGGGGCAACAGUUGAUUUCAGCUCCCAAAUCUCUAUUAGGCCAAAGAAACCAGUCACUUGACUAUAC
rnacentral:misc_RNA from 1 species